rnacentral:piRNA from 1 species
ACUGGAUCGAGGGAAGAGGAAAGACAGUU